rnacentral:rRNA from 1 species
UACGUAGGUGGCAAGCGUUGUCCGGAAUCAUUGGGCGUAAAGCGCGCGUAGGCGGCCAGAUAAGUCCGGUGUGAAAGUCACAGGCUCAACCUGUGAAUGCCGCUGGAAACUGUCUGGCUUGAGUCCGGAAGGGGCGAGUGGAAUUCCCAGUGUAGCGGUGAAAUGCGUAGAUAUUGGGAGGAACACCAGUGGCGAAGGCGGGUCUCUGGACAGUUCCUGACACUGAGGCACGAAGGCCAGGGGAGCAAACGGG